UGUUUCUUCUUUCUAUGCCUUUUCUGAUACUGUUUACUCUAUACAGAAUAUUAUCUCAAGGUGCCCAUGCCCUCACACACAAAUUUUGAUCUAGUCAACUGAUACUCAUUCUAAAAGUCUCCAAUAAACAUGGCUUCUUAAAAGCCUUUUCUGUCUCUCCCUCCCCUAUACCAACUAAGACUAAGAUGGUCCCUUCCUGGGGUCCUGUAACACUCUAUACACACUUCUGAAAUACAAAUAUCACUCCAAUUGUUGACUUACUUUUCCCACUAGACUACACUCCUUGAAAGAAAUAUGUCUUAUGUAAUUGAUUACUUCUAGUACUUCAUUCUUUGCUUGGCACAUAUUAGAUAUUUGACAAAUGUUUGUUGAAUGAAUGGAGAGACAGAUUCUUUUUUCUUAUUUUUUUAAAUUAAUAGAUUUAUUAUUUAGAGCAUUUUUUUUUGGUUUACAGAAAAACUGAACAGAAAGUACAAAGUUCUCAUAUAAUUGGCAAAACCUGGAAGUAACCAAGAUGUCCUUCAGUAGGUGGAUGAUACAUAAACUGCGGUACAUCAGACAAUGGACAAUUAUUUAGCAAUAAAAAGAAAUGAGCUGGCCCCUCACCCCAUGUGCAGACCCCAUCAUUGGAAGGCCUGGUGCCCACACCGUAUCAAAGAAAAAAGGACUGAGUGCAGAAGAAAAGAGAGCCUGCAUGAUGGAAACAUUUUUUAAAACAAAAGAUGUAUUUCAAUUAAAAGACAUGGAGAAGGCCAGGUGCGGUGGCUCAUGCUUGCAAUAGUAGCACUUUGGGAGGUUGAUGCAGGAGGACUGCUUGAGGCCAGGAGUUCAAGAUCAAUCUGGCCAACAUAGCGAGAUGCCAUCUCUUGAAAAAAAAAAAAAAAAAGACAUGGAGAGGACUGCUCCCAAAGAGAAAGGCAUUACUGCUGUGUUAGUAAAAGAAAAAAGUCCUUCAAAGUUUAGUUGAUAAUGAUAUGGUUGACUGUGAGAGAACUGGAACUUCUAAUUAUUAUCAGUCUUUUCCAAGUAAAAUUCUUCAUGCAAGAACGUAUAAAUUGGAGGUUCUGAAAUCUCAGUUGUUUCAGGGAAGCCAAAAGCAUGCAAACUUACAGAAAAGCAUCAGAAAAACUAAAAUUGGCCAACAUGAGAUGAAGGAGUGAACCGUGUUAGCCAAAGAGCAUUCUUCACUCUUGGAUCAAAGGCAGAAGUUGAAAAAUGCAAAUAAUGUGACCCGCAAGUUGUUGAAGAAAUACAUCAGGCAAAUAAAGUACUUGCUAACAGAUAGACUGAUAACAUAUUUGCAAUAAAAUCUUGGGCCAAAAGAAAAUUUGGGUUUGAAGAAAAUAAAAUUGAUAAAACUUUCGGAAUUCCAGAAGACUCUGACUACAUAGAUUAAAAUAUACCAGGGUGGUAAAGAAUCUACGAGCUCGCAAAUAUGUAAAUUUUUAAAUAUUAUCCAACUAGGCUGGGCACAGUGGCUCAUGCCUGUAAUCCCAGCACUUUGGGAGGCCGAGGCGGGCAGAUAACUUGAGGUCAGGAGUUCGAGACCAGUCUGACCAACGUGGUGAAACCCCAUCUCUACCAAACAUACAAAAAUUAGCCAGGUGUGGUGGCACAUGCCUGUAGUCCUAGCUACUCGGGAGGCUGAGGUAGGAUAAUCACUUAAACCUGCGAGGCAGAGGUUGCAGUGAGCUGAGAUCACGCCACUGCACUCCAGCCUGGGCAACACAGCGAGACUCUGUCUCAAAAAAAAAAAUUAAAAAUUUUAAAAAUCUUAUCCAACUAAAUGUACUGAACUGUCUUUUACCUGUAACAGUGUUUAUCAUUUUAUUAAAGUAUAAAAUGUAAAAAAGAGAAAGAAAUGAACCAUCAAGCCAUGAAAAGAUGUAGAGAAAUCUUAAAUGUGUAUUCCUUUUGUAGUCAUUUUAAGAUUUUAGAAAAUUAUUUGUCAGACAUACCCUACCUGAUUAAAUGUGUAUUCCUAAGUGAAAGAAGCCAAUCUGAAAAGGCUACAUACAUACUGUGGAAUUCCAACUACAUAAUAUUCUAGAAAAGACAAUGGUAAAAACAUCUGUGGUUGCUAAGGGUUGGAGGGAUGAACAGGUGGAGCACCGAGGAUUUUUAGGGCAGUGAAACUACUCUGAUUGAUAACAUAAUGGUGAACACAUGCCAUUAUACACUUGUCAAAACCCAAAGAAUGUACAUCAAGAGUAAACCCUAAUGUAAACUAAGGGCUUCAGGAGAUAAUGAUGUGUCAGUGUAGGUUUGUCAAUUGUAACAUAUGUACCACUCUGGUGAGGGAUGUUGAUAGUGGAGGAGGCUGUACAUGUGUGGGGCAGAGGGGUAUAUGACAAUGCUCUGCUUAAUUUUGCCGCAAAUUUUAAAUUGCUCUAAAAAUUAAAGUAUAUUUUUUAAAAUAUGAAAGAGCUAAACAUACAUCUCAAGAAGAAGAAAAGGAACAGAAAAACAAACAAAAACCCCCAAAACCCAAGAAGUAGAAGGAAAGAAAUAAUAAAGAUAGAAACUAAUGAAACAGAACAUAACUUAAAAUAAAAAUCAACAGAACUAAAACUUUGUUCCUUUGAAAAGUUCUAAGAAGAAACUGAAAAGGUGAAUAGUUUCUAUACCUAAAAACUACAGAAGGAAGAAGUAUCAGGGAGGCAGGCAUGGUCAAUAGUAUAUAAUGCCAUAACAAAGUAAAGUAAAAUUCAUAUUGAAAACUGCCCAGUGGGGUGGUUCCCAUCUAUAAUCUCAACACUUUGGGAGGCCAAGGCAGGAAGACUGCUUGAGGCCAGGAGUUUGAGACCAGCCUGGGCAAUAUAGCAAGACCCUGUUUCUUAAAAAAAGGAAAAGAAAACUGCCCAAUCUAACAAUGAGGACAUCACUGAUAUCUUGGGCAAGAAUAAUUUAAGUGGAAUGGAAUGAAGUAGAACAAGUUUCUAAAAGGAAAAAAAAAUCCCGGAUGUGUUGACAUUAAUGCUGACCUAUAUCUGCAAGAAGCUAGAUUUGAUUUAUCUUUAUCUUUGCACAGUGCCUCACAUAUCGCUGCUUGCAACACUAUUUGCUGAAUUAAUUCAGUUGGAUGGAAAAGAAAGGACCACACAUAAAGGGCUUUAAAUGCUUGACAGUAUUGAGACUUAAAUGAAGAAGUUUUAAGAUUUCUAAACAGAUAUACAGUCUGAUGUUUAAAGAAGAUUAAUCUGGAUGUUAGCUUAAGACUUUUAAAGGUAAUACUGAGGAAAGGGAGACUAGUUAGGAAGUUGUUGCAGCAAUCUAGGCCCUUCUGGAUUAGGAUAGGCCAACAGCAGUGAAGAUAAAGGGUGAAAUUUGAGAGACAUUAUGAAAGUAAACUUCUUAGGAUUUGUCAACAAAUGGAUAUGAAAGUUAGAAGAAAAAGAUGUUA
rnacentral:lncRNA from 1 species